CCUGCGGGGGCGCGUCAGACACCUGGGAGGGCCAGCACCACCUGGGUGCGGGGAGGAUCGUGGUGGGCGUUAGAGCGCUGCGACCCCUGUGCAAGACCCUGCCAGCGGUUGGGCCAUUCUGAGGCAGCUGCCUUACAGCCUGGUUUGUGACUGGCAGAGCGAAGCCACGCCCAGGGGCGCGACCUUAAUGGCGGCAGCCGAGCAUAACUGGCGCACCGUUUGCUAGCAAGAUAUUUGGAGUGCUGAAACUGGCUUACUAUGCACAGCGUCUUAAAGCCUAUGCUACUAGCUUGGGCUCCUCUGGCCACUAAAACCAGCUGCUGCUUCAGUGGCGCCGCAUGAACAUGCACACGCUGGCGGGAAGCAUGGUGGGGGCCGGCUCUCUCUCCGGAAAUUGCAGCAGAGUGGGGUGGAGAUUGGUUUCCCCUCCCUAAUUUUCUCUCUGGUUGGCGCUCGGAGGAGAACUCUCUCGGCUCUCAGAGCCGGGUGUCCUCUGGGACACGCAGGUGCAGUUCUCACAGCCAGAGGCAGUGGAGGCGGUAGGGUGUGCGCCAGGCGUGGUGGUGAUACAGGGUGCAGCAAGGGGGGCCCCCAAAAAGAUUUGGAAAGGUGUCCAGAAUUCAAAGUGUAUAGAAAUAUUGGAGAGACAUAUUAAGAUGUCCUCACCACCACCACCCCCCCCAGGGGGAAGGGAUGAAUGGAGCCAGGCCAUUGAGAGCUAUUUUGCAUAGCAACAGUUUUAGAGCUAACCUCUGGAAUGGUUAUUUAACAUAUCUAUAACCUUUACCUGGUUUCAUAGAUAUGUUAAAUAGCAGUGGCCAAGUUUGGAGCCAGGGGGAAGGUAGUAGCUGGGACUCAAGAUGGGAUCUAUGAGCUGCUCUCCUGAGUGAGGAGGGCUUGGACUCAGGAUGUAACUAAGGGCUGCGCCCCUGAGUGGAAGGGCCGCUGUGUGGGAGCUUGGAAAAGACUGGCUCCAGGACAUGAAGGGUCCCUGCUUGGGCAGAUGAGAGAGAGCCAUGCGGUUUCAGCAGAGUGAGGACCCCCUGUUGGUGAGGUGAAAGAGGGAGCCACGCGGUUUUGGCAGGGUGUGGACCCCCUCUUUCCCAGGUGAAAGGGAAGAACCACGCAACUUUGCCAGAAUGGAGAUCCCUACAGCCAGGUGAAGAAGACAGCCACAUGCUUUUGGUGGAGUGCGGACUCCUGCAGCUUUGGUAGAAGAGGCCCACGCGGCUUUGGGGUGCCCCCUUUGGCUGCGGGGCCUGAAAAAGCAAGAGAGACUUUGACUGGAACUGGGUACAAAGGACUCUUGCCAGUGGACCAUGAGAGGGUACCACAGUGCUUUGGAUUAACUCGAGAUCCUGCACAGUGACACAGCUGACGGUGCCAGCGGUCUGCAACACAGACGUGUGCUCUUUUCCUGAUUUACGGUGGAGGGUGGCUCCGGAGUCCUGCCACUGGCAGCACCUGCAGGCUGAACUGGAAUUGCGGUGUGGACAUUUGGGGUAAAAUAGAGGGAAGCUGAGGAUUCCCGGGAAGGUGAAUUUUCAUUCUUCUUUGGAAAGUGAACAAGGAAAAGAAUUUUCCUUCAUGCUUUGUCUUCUUCUUCCUACCUGACCCCUCCAGAAUUUGGCAUUCUGAAGGAGUGCUGGCUCCACUGUGGUGUCCAUCACCAGUAUCUUCACCAUCAGUGGUUUGUGCCAUAAAAGGACAUGUGAAUAGACCCUGUAAAGUCAAGUUCCACAUAUUUACUUGUAUAAAACCUUGAUUAGAACCACUGGUGAGGUAGCUCAUUUCUUUUCCAGGUUUACCCAAAACCUCCUUGAGUUUAUUUGUACACUCAUAGAGAAUAUGUAGAGCUGAAAAUGUUCAUAGUUUCAAGCCUAAAAUUUUGAAAGUGCCCAAAAUAGGUGGUCAUUUUAAUGUCUAAAACUUACAUUUUAUGGUUUUUAACCUGAAAUACUGACAUUAAAAUGGAUUUGACUCAAAAUGUGUUUGGAAUAAUAAACGUGGAAUGGCAUUUUUAAAAAGUAGUAACUUUCAUUUAUGAUACUAUGUAUGAAUAAAUUAACUGUGAAUAAUGUUCUUAAAUGCCACUUUAAAACUUGUGACAUCAUAAAUAAUUAAUAAAGGAUUUUCUUGUCCUAGCUGGUGUGGCUCAGCAUAGUGAGCUUUACCCUGUGAACCUGAAGUUCGCUGGCACAUACCUGGGAUGCAUGCUGUGUCCCAUUUUGGGAGCACUUGAGAGGCAACAGAUGAAUGAUUCACUCACACAUUAAUGUUGCUAUCCCUUUUUUUUCUCUCUCAAUUCCCUUCUUUCUAGAAGUAA